GUUAAAAAUAUUUUUUAAGCAAAGAAAGUGGUAUUUUAAAAGCAUUUAAAACAGCGCCUGGUAUAUAGUAAGCGCCAAAGAAGUCUGUUAAGAAGAAUGCAUAGGGCAAGAGAGCUCAGGGUUUUGAACGCUAUCAAAAUAAUAUGCUUAUUUAUCUGCAAAACACAAUAGCAAUUAGGCAGCACGAGAUUUCCCCAUUAGGUCGUUUAUUCUCCUCAGCUAUUUAUUCCAUUUGCCUGUCCCUUGGUUGAGCGCCUUGUCUGUCUAUGACCGAAAGUGCGUUUCGGGUCAGAGAGACAGAAACAGACACAGGAAACCCUUUAAAGCGCCCCCUCCGACUUAAAUACGGUAGUGGAUUGGAGGUGGGGAGGUGUAGGGGAGGCGUAUGUGGAGAGAAAGAAAAGAGAAAGAAUGAGGGAACGGCAGGAUUUCAAGCCUCCCCGCCCUUCUGCGACAACCUUUUCAGCGAAAGGGAAGGCUUAGGAAGAAAAGAUGUCCGCGCGUAGAGCAAACCGCAGUUCUUUCCUUUCUUUUUGAAGGAUUUGUACCAUAAGUUAAUUACACCAAAAGAUACGAGGGACUUUAUUAGAAAGGAGAUGCCGUUAGGAAAGAAAGGCCAGGACGGCCGAUCUAAAGGGAAUGGAGAAGGGAAGACUCAGACGCCUUCCCGAAAUUGGUGGUCUAGCCUGUGUUUUGUGCUAAAUGUUAUUUAACUUAAUGGCGUGGGAGUGAGAUGUUGAAUGCAGAGAUCUGGAAAUACCAGAUUUAGUGGUCCUGUUCCUCCCCCCCGACUCUUUUCACACCCAUUUAAUAAAAAGUUACAGUUUUUACACCCGUAGUGAUAAAUUUGGCGAUGUUGGCCAAGUAUUAUCUCGCCCCGCAGAUUUUGAAUUUUGUUGCACAAACCGAUGAAAUGAUUGCUUUGCUAUAAUUGUAAAACUUUUUUGGAACGAACCGGGAUUUUUUUAAUGCCUCUUGAUCUACUUUUUGCUUCAUUAGAGCCCUCUGGUUUUCCAAGACCGACUGUCACACUUUGUUAUUUGUUGCUUCUCUAAAUCCUUCGAGAUGCUGCUCGCAGCUACUUAAAAAACGUUGGCCACUCAGGUAUUUGAUGGGCUUAGAAAGUCACCAAGAUGUGACACCAUUUAAAAGUUUUAGCUUGGUUUCUCAGUAAAAUAAGGGCAUCUCUGUUAAUUAGAAAACUUUGUGUUAGUCUGAGAUGCCUACAAGCAUAGUCCAAAUUGAAAAUACCAAUAUUUUGCCACAUGUGAAAUAUCAUUAUUUACACAGCCUUCUCUUUCAAAGGGAGGACAAACGGGUUGCCUUGAGAAGAGCUAUUCUAUUUGCAAUUGCUGGGGCAGGUGACAAACACGUGUGUAUCUGUGGGCAGCCUUGUUGGGCUGCCUUCCCUGACUACAAGGCUUCUGUGAGCUGGUAACGCCUUAAAAUGUGUGAGAAUGCUGCGCCCUAGGAGUGGAGGCCAAGGGCAAGAUCCUUGUACAUUUCAAUACCUUUUCCAACAUCAGGCUGGCAGCAGGCAGGCCAACCUAGGGUCACUGUGUGACACAUAUUUGCAAGCCAGUAAAGCAAAACAAAGCUGAAAGCAAGUGCAAAUUUAGGCCCACCAACCUUGAAGUCAUCCCUGAAAGGGAGCUGCUUUACUAGUUAAUUUUUCUUGCCCAGUCAGCCACACAAAAUGCAUUGUAUUUCUUGGCUUGCCCCAGUAAUUGCGACUUACUUGUUACAGCAGAAGCUUCAAGAAUUUACACUCAUUGGAAUAAUAAAAUAGAAGUAAGCAACCGUGCAUUAAAAAGCUAUGAAAAGAUGAAGAGAAUAUGCCUUCAAAUGGGAAGGAAUACUUAACUGUGAAUAAGACCUGGUUCAACAUGGAACUUCCUGGUGGCCAAGUCAGAAGAGAGGCACAGAACAAAAACGGAGGCACAGAGAGGUCAAUUGGUUGGUCUAAUGACACAGAUCUAGCAAGUGGUGGAACCAGGACUGAAUCCAGGUGUGUGUCCGGAAUUGGUGGGUUCUCGGUCUCACUGACUUCAAGAAUGAAGCCGCGGACCCUUGCGGAACUGUGAAGACUAGAGUGACCUUGGAGAUCUCAUCUGGAAGAUGGUAGAACUGCUAUCAGCCUGGGUUCCCAAAUGACCUGCUGGAUCACAGCUACCCAUGGCCUGAAAUGUUGACCUUGGAGUUGUUGCAUAGGAAAGAAAUAAACUUCUUUGUUCUUUGA